CUGACACUGAGGUGUGAAAGCGUGGGUAGCAAACAGGAUUAGAUACCCUGGUAGUCCACGCCGUAAACGAUGUCGACCAGCCGUUGGGUGCCUAGAGCACUUUGUGGCGAAGUUAACGCGAUAAGUCGACCGCCUGGGGAGUACGGCCGCAAGGUUAAAACUCAAAUGAAUUGACGGGGGCCCGCACAAGCGGUGGAGCAUGUGGUUUAAUUCGAUGCAACGCGAAGAACCUUACCUACCCUUGACAUCUACAGAAGCCGGAAGAGAUUGGGGUGUGCCUUCGGGAACUGUAAGACAGGUGCUGCAUGGCUGUCGUCAGCUCGUGUUGUGAAAUGUUGGGUUAAGUCCCGUAACGAGCGCAACCCUUGUCCUUAUUUGCCAGCACGUAAUGGUGGGAACUCUAAGGAGACUGCCGGUGACAAACCGGAGGAAGGUGGGGAGGACGUCAAGUCAUCAUGGCCCUUACGGGUAGGGCUACACACGUGCUACAAUGGCCGGUACAAAGGGCGGCGAGCUCGCGAGAGUCAGCGAAUCCCUUAAAGCCGGUCUCAGUCCGGAUCGGAGUCUGCAACUCGACUCCGUGAAGUCGGAAUCGCUAGUAAUCGUGAAUCAGAAUGUCACGGUGAAUACGUUCCCGGGCCUUGUACACACCGCC
rnacentral:rRNA from 1 species